AUGUGGCGGUGCGCCCGCCCCUUCCGCCGCGUCGCCACUGCAAUCCAACGGCAGCCACGGCCCGCUGCGGCAGGGGUGAAGCAGUGCACGCCCGGAGGCGUCACGCGCAUCUCGGCGCUGCAGGGCUCGAGGGUCUCCGGCGAGAUGUCCACCCGGAAGACGCUCCACCAGCCGUCAUCGGCGACGCGGUGGAAGAACACCGUGCCCUCCCCGUGCCAGGUCGGCCAGCCGCCCCGAGCAGCGAGGACGACGCGGCGGGCGGGGUCGGCGGCACGGAAGACGGCGACCUCCGUCUCGAGCACGUGGAAGUCGAACGCCCACGGCCUCUCGCCGUACGAGGCGACGGCGAGGAGCUCGCCGGACGCGGACACUGCGGGGCUCAUGUCCGCCACGCCCCGAGGCGUCACCCGCACCGUCUCCUCGCUGCCAAGGUCCGUCGUGUACACCGCCGCCCAGCUCCUGAACCACCCAUCCGGCUUCUCGUGCGCGGAGACGAAGUACAGCCGGCCGCCCCUCACGGUGGGGCGGUCGUGGAACAGGCUCCCCUCCACGGCCGGCAGCGGCACGGCGCGCUCGGACCCGGGGCGGCACAGGAACAGGCCCGCCGAGCCGGUGCGCUCGGACACGAACGCCACCUCCUCGCCGCCGUCGUCCUUGAACUGGGCGUUGAAGUUGACGGACACGCCGUCCGUGUGGCGGCGCUCCGCCAGCCCCGCGGCGGAUGCGCUCUCGGGAGUCUGCGGGGCGGCGACGGAGAAGACGUCGAAGCCGAAGCUGGUGACCCCGACGGAGGCGAACACGAUCGUGCCGGUAGGCUCGCGGCCGGGCUCCAUGAUCGGUGAGACGGCGUGUGGCUGGUUGAGUCGAGCUGUGCUGCUGGCGCUUGUCGCUUGUAGCUUGUCGGGGUGUGUGAUCGAGGUGUGUGACUGGGUGGAGCGUGGCGGUAUUUGUAGGUUCGCGGCGAGACUUAUCUGCGGGUGGUUGGCUUGUCGGAUCACUCCACUGUCCACUCCGUGA
rnacentral:rRNA from 1 species